CUCCUCCAACAACACGUGUAUUUGGUGUAGGCAGCAAGUGGCACAGCUCUGUGUCAUAAAGAACUCAAGUUAUAAGCACCAAGCACCAAAGCUCCAGCCAAACCAGCCAAAUGUGCCUACUGACAGCCAGAAUCCUUAGGAAAGACAGCCAGUAAAAAAGUCAAACAAAGCACCUGAUUCUCAGCCUUCUCAGUCCUUUUUGAAAAUCCGGAGGCCUCCCUGUUGGCUUCACUACUGGCCUGCAAAGCCCGAGCUCGCAGUCUGUUGGAAGUCCUUGUAACUAGACAGCAGAGAAUUUGGAUUGGACUGAAUUUCAGGAAGCCGUUGCAUUAGAUCAAAAAUAGCGCCUCUCUGAGCGACUGGAAAAAAGGCAGCAUCACACCCAUUUUUAAGAAGGGAAGAAAGGAUGAUCCCGGGAACUACCAAUGUAACAGUCUCACCUCUGUGCUGGGAAAGAGCACAGGGUAGAUCCUCCUGGAAGUUGCGUUAAGGCACAUGCAAGACAGGGAGGAGAUACAGGAGAACCAGCUUGUCUUCACCAAGGGUAAAAAUCCUGCAUGGCCAACCUAGUGGCUGUCUAUGAUGGCAUCACUGCAUCAAUAGACAAGUGAAGAGCCACUGAUACCAUCAACCUGGAUGUCAGUAAGGCCUUUGACACAAUAUCCUGCAACAUCCUUCUCUCCAAAUGGGAAAGAUACAGAUUCGAUGGGUGGAUUGUUGAAUGGAAAAAGAACCAGCUGCAGGAUUGGGUCCAGAGAGCGGCGGCCAAUGGCUCCAUGUCUGGAUGGCGAUUGGUGAUGAGUGGUGUCCCACAUGGGUCCAUGCUGAGGCUGAUACUGUUCAAUAUCUUCAACAGCGACAUCAGUGGGGUCGAGCACACCCUCAGAAAGUUUGCUGACAACACCAAGCUGUGGGGUGCAGUGACACACCAGAGGGACAGGACACCAACCAGAGCAGGACAGGCUCGAGCAACGGGUACAGGCAAACCUCAUCAGGUUCAACAAAUCCAGAUGCAGUGUCUUGCACCUGGGACAAGAGAACCCCCCACUACCAAUACAUAACGGGGGAUGAAAGGACUGAGCAUAGGCCUGUCCCAAAAGACCUGGAGGUACUGGUGGACGGCAAGCUGGACGUGAGCCAGCAAUGUGCCCUCCCAGCCCAGAAAACCAACCAUAUCCUGGUCUGCAUCAAAAGAAGCGUGGUCAGCAGGCGAAGGGAGGUGAUCCUGCCCUUCUGCUCUGUGCUGAAGAGGCCUCACCUGGAGUACUGCAUCCAGAUGUAGAGUCCUCAGUGCAGAAGAGACAUGGACCUGUUGGAGCACAACCAGAGGUUGGCCACAAAAAAAUGAACCAAGGGAUCAAACACCAUUCCUACAAGGACAGGCAGAGAGAGCUGGGGCUGUUCAGGCUCCGAGGUGACCUGGUAACAGUCUUUCAGAACCUAAAGGAGAUCUAAAGGAAAGAACAAGGGAAAAAAUAGGUUAGAUAUCAGGAAAAUAUCUUUUACAGUGAGGGUGGUGAGGCAGUGGAACAGGUUGCCCAGAGAUGUGGUGGAUGCCCUGUACCUUUCAAGGGGAGGCUGGAUCAGGUUCUGGGCAGCCUGAUCUAGCUGUGGACGUCCCUGUUCAUUGUGGGGGAGUUGGACAAGAUCAUCAUAAAUGGUCCCUUCCAACUCUAAGGAGUCUAUACCUGAAGCCAUGAGACACGAUGACACAAAGGACAUUGAUGGCCUGGUGUGCAAUCAGGGCAGGUGGGGAAGCCUGCAUGCUCAGCAGCUCUGGGGUAACUCACCAAGUACUCCGGUCAGGAAGAUCCACAUCAUAGAGCCUCUCUGUGCCAGUCCCGGUAUUCAGCAGAUCAGAGGCCUUGCUUCAUCACACUGUUGAGUCCCAUAGCUGCAGAGCUAGCUAUUGAAUGGGGUUCAGGGGAUGGAAGGAAGAGGGGUGGGGAAUUUGGGUAUCAUACAAAUUAGGAAACUAAUAGCAUCCCCUGACAAUUGGGAUGGAGAUAUCCAGGAUGAUCCUGACAAAGUGGUCCAGUAGAGGACAAUCCUUUGUUUCCUAUAAAUACAAAGCCAGAUCUGUCAUAAAAACAGAAAGAACCAUAGGACCCUGGGGUGGUCAGCCACAAUGUGCUCUGAGAACUGUGCCUUGGCAUCUGUUACCACUGACAGAUUUGUAAGGGAGAUAUAGGAGAGAACCUGACAAAACGGGAACAGAAUACUUGUGGUCAGUAUGCUCGGGUGGUACAGACUGUAUUAUACUGAGUGAGGAUGAAGCAAAUGGCCACUGGAGUUCAGGAGUGUUCUUCAGGUCCUGGCUGAUGCACUUCACUCUACCACCAGCCACGGAGCUCACUGGGAUGGGAUAACAGACUCCAUGGAUUGAGGUCUCACACCACCAAUUAAGGAGCUCCAGCAAUCCUUAGACCCCAUUGAGCUGCAAAAUGAGAUCAGAAGAGACACAGAACAUAAUUUAAUACAUGAUAAUGAUGCACAGAAUGCCCUUAAACAACUCUGCACGGGUGCAAUUAACACAUGGCGCUGUUAAUUACAGCCAUGAAAUGGGAUGAUGUGGGAGCAGACAAACCACGUUUGGAGCCCCAGGUUGGAGAAUAUGAGGCGAGAGCCAUGUAAAAGGGAACAGCAGCUCAACCAGAAGCUCUGUUGUGCAGUCGGGUCAAAGCAGGAGGUGAUGACCCCAGGAGGGAAAAUCCAUCCUUGGAUCUUCAGAGGCAUUUGCAACCCCAUCCUGGUGGGGGAUCAUUAAGAUUGGAAAAGAAUUCUGAGAUCGAUUCCAACCAUCACCCCAUGCCCACUGUGUCCGUAAGAGCUGCUGAUGGCCACGUUCAAGCUCCAUCCUACUUCAGCACAGCAUAGCUCCUGCUUCAGAGCUGCCAGUGGCCUCUCCCAACUCUCUUCAUCUGCUCUGUGGCCCUGGAGCUGAAUCUGGAGCUCUCAGCAGCUGGUACAAAGCUGGGCCAGCCCUGCUGCAGGAGAUGCUAUUUGCUGGCUGCCCUCUGAGGGCUUCGAAGAUUGGCAGACCCCAGAGACCUGCAGCAGGGACAUGGGAUGAGGGAGACAACAGUGCCUACCUGCCUGCAAGCCGGUCCUCUGAAGCGCUGAGUACUGAGUCUGACUCCACGUAAGCUCCUUAGAAAAGAAUGCAGCUUCCAGGGAUGUGAUGGAUUUGAUCAAAGAGGUCAAGCAGAGAAGGGAUCAUUGAGGUUAAUGGCUGAGGUGAAGGAGGAUGGCAGGAGGGAUGGGGCUUCCCCAUAUCACCACAUACAAGCCGUCCUGGUGUACCCCAUGUGAAGGUGUGGGGACUUUCACCUGGUGCUGAUGCUCAGCUUUUCCCCUCCAGCCCCCAUACAGGGGAUGCAGGGCCACCUGCGCAGCACCCAGCCUGGCCCCACAUGGGGAGCUCUGACUGCUUUGUGCAUGUCCUUUAAAGGCCUUCUCCCUUCAAGCUGUUCCCUUGG
ensembl:lncRNA